rnacentral:rRNA from 1 species
UACAGAGGUCUCAAGCGUUGUUCGGAUUCAUUGGGCGUAAAGGUGUGUAGGUGGCGCCGUAAGUCGGGUGUGAAAUUUCGGAGCUUAACUCCGAAACUGCAUUCGAUACUGCCGUGCUUGAGGACUGGAGAGGAGACUGGAAUUUACGGUGUAGCGGUGAAAUGCGUAGAUAUCGUAAGGAAGACCAGUGGCGAAGGCGGGUCUCUGGACAGUUCCUGACGCUGAGGCACGAAGGUCAGGGAGCAAACGGG